rnacentral:rRNA from 1 species
AUUGAACGCUGGCGGCAGGCCUAACACAUGCAAGUCGAACGAGUGGCGGACGGGUGAGUAAUGUCUGGGAAACUGCCUGAUGGAGGGGGAUAACUACUGGAAACGGUAGCUAAUACCGCAUACCAUCGGAUGUGCCCAGAUGGGAUUAGCUAGUAGGUGGGGUAAAGGCUCACCUAGGCGACGAUCCCUAGCUGGGGUGGGAGGAUGACCAGCCACCCUGGGACUGAGACACGGUCCCGACUCCUACGGGAGGCAGCAGUGGGGAAUAUUGCACAAUGGGCGAAAUCCUGAUGCAGCCAUGCCGCGUGUAUGAAGAAGGCCUUCGGUUUGUAAAGUACUUUCAGCGGGGAGGCGUUACCCGCAGAAGAAGCACUGGCUAACUCCGUGCCAGCAGCCGCGGUAAUAC